rnacentral:rRNA from 1 species
CCAAUAGCGUAUAUUAAAGUUGUUGCAGUUAAAAAGCUCGUAGUUGAAUUUCGGGAUUAGUGCGCUGGUCAUGCCUUUGGUAUGUACUGGUGUUACUGAUUUCUACCUUCUGAAGAACCGUUAUGUCAUUUAUUUGGUGUGGCGGGGAAUCAGGACUGUUACUUUGAAAAAAUUUGAGUGUUUAAAGCAGGCUCGCGCUUGAAUACAUUAGCAUGGAAUAAUGAAAUAGGACGUUUGACCCUAUUUUGUUGGUUUCUAGGAUCGACGUAAUGAUUAAUAGGGAUAGUUGGGGGCAUUAGUAUUCAAUUGUCAGAGGUGAAAUUCUUGGAUUUAUUGAAGACUAACUACUGCGAAAGCAUUUGCCAAGGAUGUUUUCAUUAAUCAAGAACGAAAGUUAGGGGAUCGAAGACGAUCAGAUACCGUCGUAGUCUUAACCAUAAACUAUGCCGACUAGGGAUCGGAUGAUGUUAUUUUUAAUGACUCAUUCGGCGCCUUACG